CCUACGGGAGGCAGCAGUGAGGAAUAUUGGUCAAUGGGCGCUAGCCUGAACCAGCCAAGUAGCGUGAAGGAUGACUGCCCUAUGGGUUGUAAACUCCUUUUAUAGGGGAAUAAAGUGCAGUAUGUAUACUGUUUUGCAUGUACCUUAUGAAUAAGGAUCGGCUAACUCCGUGCCAGCAGCCGAGGUAAUACGGAGGAUCCGAGCGUUAUCCGGAUUUAUGGGGUGUAAAGGGAGCGUAGGCGGGUUGUUAAGUCAGAUGUGAAAGUUUGGGGCUCAACCGUAAAAUUGCAGUUGAUACUGGCAUCCUUGAGUACAGUAGAGGUAGGCAGAAUUCGUGGUGUAGCGGUGAAAUGCUUAGAUAUCACGAAGAACUCCGAUUGCGAAGGCAGCCUGCUGGACUAUAACUGACGCUGAUGCGCGAAAGUGUGGGUAGCAAACAGGAUUAGAUACCCUUGUAGUC
rnacentral:rRNA from 1 species